AAUCCGAGAAUUUCACCUCCAACAAUGAAAUACGAAUGCCCCCAACUGUUCCUCUUAAUCAUUACUCCCGUCCCGAGACCAACGAAAUAGGACAGGAGUCCUAUAGUGUUAUUCCAUGCUGAAAUAUUCAAGCGUAAGCCCGCUUUGAACACUCUAAUUUUUUCAAAGUAACCACGUAGACUCCGAGUCCAGGUCGUUAAACCCAGAGCACGUCCUCUACAGGAAGUUAAAACCAACCAGUGCACACCAAACGGCGGACCGGUCGCUCUUAACCGAAAUCCAACUACGAGCUUUUUAACUGCAACAACUUAAAUAUACGCUAUUGGAGCUGGAAUUACCGCCA
rnacentral:misc_RNA from 1 species